UACGUAGGGGGCAAGCGUUUGGUCCGGAAUCAUUGGGCGUAAAGCGCGUGUAGGCGGCCCGGUAAGUCCGCUGUGAAAGUCAAGGGCUCAACCUUGGAUGCCGGUGGAUACUGUCGGGCUAGAGUGCGGGAGAGGCGAGUGGAAUUCCUGGUGAUAGCGGUGAAAUGCGCAGAUAUCAGGAGGAACACCGAUUGCGAAGGCAGCUCGCUGGAACGUAA
rnacentral:rRNA from 1 species